GGCACUUUAGCUGAGAUGGAUUAGCGAUAGCCUGAAAAGCUUUAGAGGUGGGCUCGAUACCCACAGGUGCCA
rnacentral:tRNA from 2 species